rnacentral:rRNA from 1 species
GACGAACGCUGGCGGCGUGCUUAACACAUGCAAGUCGAACGAAGUGGCGAACGGGGGAGUAAUACGUGGGUAACCUGCCCUCCUUUUUGGGAUAAGCCUUGGAAACGGGGUCUAAUACAGAAUAAAGGGGGAUGGGCUCGCGGCCUAUCAGCUUGUUGGUGGGGUGAGGGCCUACCAAGGCGGUGACGGGUAGCCGGCCUGAGGGGGGGACCGGCAACAUUGGGCCGGAGAUACGGCCCAGACUCCUACGGGAGGGAGCAGUGGGGGAGAUUGCACAAUGGGGGAAAGCCUGAUGCGGCGACGCCGCGUGGGGGAUGAAGGCUUUAGGGUUGUAAACCUCUUUCGCAAGCGAACGGGUAGGUGGAGAAGAAGCGCCGGCUAACUACGUGCCAGCAGCCGCGGUAAUAC